UACGAAGGGGGCUAGCGUUGCUCGGAAUCACUGGGCGUAAAGGGUGCGUAGGCGGGUCUUUAAGUCAGGGGUGAAAUCCUGGAGCUCAACUCCAGAACUGCCUUUGAUACUGAAGAUCUUGAGUUCAGGAGAGGUGAGUGGAACUGCGAGUGUAGAGGUGAAAUUCGUAGAUAUUCGCAAGAACACCAGUGGCGAAGGCGGCUCACUGGUCCGGUACUGACGCUGAGGUGCGAAAGCGUGGGGAGCAAACAGG
rnacentral:rRNA from 1 species